AGACUGAUCACAGGCCACUACUUCAUUUACAUAAGGUGUAAACCAAGUAACCAAUUGGAAACCUCUAGACGGUAUUUAAACUCCAGAAAAUUCUAUAACCAGCCUCUUGAGCUGCUUGCUUGGCCCACUCUCACUCUGUGGAGUGUACAUUUGUUUCCAUAAAUCUGUGCUUUUUUUUUCAUUGUUUUGUUUGUGCAUUUCAUCCAAUUGUUUGUUCAAAAUGCCAAGAAUCUGGACACCCUCCACCAGUAACAGGCAUUGGGAAGGGGAAGGCAGAAAAGCGGAGUGCAAAAUGAAGUGGUAGUGGGUGCUAACUAACAAGAGAACCUUUGAACACGAUGGGACAGAAAUAAGGUCAUGCAUUUUCUACUAUCUGUCACCUGUGGACAACUUGCCACUUCAACAGUUCUGGACACUUUUAAGCUCCCCCGAGGAGAAGAUAGGAAACUUGGACACCCUGUGUGGGAUUGAGAAUCACAAAGGGGCAGUCUCGCACCUGGUCAAGAUAAAGCUGAACUGAACUCUUCAUUCACAAGUGGGAUUCUCGUAAGAGGCAGGAAAGCAGGGACCGUCUGUCACUACAGACAGCAAGAAGAGGCAAGAAGAGAAUAGAGGCAAAGCAAGCCACUCCAGAAGUCCUCUAGCCAGCUUUGUCUUUAGUUUGAUGGCCAGAGCUAAACACUGUGCUGGUUAUCCCCAUCCAUAACUCCUCCCAAAGGGCCCAAUAGCCUGCCUUCCAGCAGAGCUAAUAAUCCAUGGUUUAAGUUAUGCAUUCGGACUGUAAGAAAUCUGAAUAAAACGUCAUUCUCCCUUUUAUCCAACUGGCAAAAUGCAUACUCUUCCUCUAAACUCAAUUGAAUGGAGUUCUUUGAGAAGACUUCCUGAUAACAUGCUAGGAAAUCCAAGCCAAAAGCUCCUUUUGGAGACAAGAAUAUUCUGACAGCACCUCCUACGAUGUGACAGAGUCAAAGAAGAAAAUAUACAAGAGAACUCUGCUAUAGAAAAUUACAAAUUCAAACCAUGGGAAAAUGGGGAAUAGAAAAAUUAUCUCUUUAGACAGAGAAAAGAUUAUAAAUACUGAAAAUUGUCAUUUCUAUAAAUGUCAUUGCUCUUCUGUUUUACAUUGUGUAAAUAUUUGGAAGAAAAUGGCACAAUUUUCUUUCAAAAAAAGGGAAACAUUCAAAAUAUUUAAAUUAUAUAUAUUAUAUAUGUAACAUGAUCAGCAAGUCUGGAAACAUAACGAAGUUUUAUAGUAUUGAUUUAUUCCUAUCACUCUGAGAUAUGGUGACAUUACAUGAUAUGUUCAACGUGUUGUUCCUCAUUAGCAAUGUGUUAUGCAUAAUGGGGACCAACAUGGGACAUUAAUACAACAUUUCUAUCAGUGCCUGCACAUGCUUCUGUGAUACGUUGCCUCCAAUGAUUUUUGUCUCUAAUUUUCAGAAUAUAAACCUGCUCCAUUAGCAUUUUCUGGAAGAAGCAAUCAAAUGGGUUAAUCUGUGAAAGUAAAUGUUAUCUAUAUUUCCCAACAUUAUGGCCAUCCUGUAUUAACGUAUAUUAUGUAUAUUCUGAACUGCUCCAUAAUUGGAAUAGUCAUUCCUUAUCAAUAAUUUACUUGAUAUCAUGGAUAUGUGUCUUUUAGUUAAUGAUCCCUUUGCCAACUAGCCUAGUUUAUAGGCAGUGACUAUAUCAUACUCAUUUUGAAUUCCCAAUACUUACCACAGCUUCCUAUACAUGGUAGUUGUUUAAUAAAUAAUUCUUGAAUAAAAAUAAACUUUAAAUAUUUCCUUAUUAUUUAGCUUUCGAGUACAUCUUGGAUAUUUGACACUUAAGCACAUACCACCCAGAUCCUUAUUUCCUCUGAUGGUUUUAUCAUAAUAAUUGCUCUGAGAGAUUUUUCCAGUGAAGUCUUAGAGUUACCACAUCUCUGCUUAUGCUUUCCACCACUGAAAGAUAGCUUUCUCCAGAUUCUUCUUCUUUUUUUAAAUGCUCACUUCUCUUCUAAGAUAUCUGGACCGAAUGGGUUUCAUUUUGUAUUGCUUUCACGACAAAAGCCAAACUACUAAGUGAGGAAAUAAACUGUUCAAAGUUUAUACAAAUUGUGAACGAGUGUAUGAAAAAAAUAUUUUUCAGUGGAAUUCAAAUGACAAACAUUUACUUAAUGUAAUCCAAAGUGACAUAAUAAAAGACAAAGAGUUUCAUA
rnacentral:lncRNA from 1 species